UUCUCCUUGAUCCAUGUUGCCUUACAUUCGUUACUUAUCCUAACCAUGUGGCCUCGUUAGCGCAGUAGGUAGCGCGUCAGUCUCAUAAUCUGAAGGUCAUGAGUUCAACCCUAAUACGGGGCAUGGUAGUCUUUUCCCAAACCUCUUCAGGAAAAAUAGUUUUUCGCCACUUGCACACGAACUCGGCUGACUCGCUCGCGUUCCCUUCUCCUUGAUCCAUGUUGCCUUACAUUCGUUACUUAUGUUAACCAUGUGGCCUCGUUAGCGCAGUAGGUAGCGCGUCAGUCUCAUAAUCUGAAGGUCAUGAGUUCAACCCUCAUACGGGGCAUGGCAGUCUUUUCCCGAACCUCUUCAAUGAAAAAUAUUUUUCGCCACUUGGACACGAACACGUGUCUGGCUCAUUUACUCACUGCUUGGUCCCUUCUCCUUGAUCCAUAUUGCCUUACAUUCGUUACUUAUGCUAAUCAUGUGGCCUCGUUAGCGCAGUAGGUAGCGCGUCAGUCUCAUAAUCUGAAGGUCAUGAGUUCAACCCUCAUACGGGGCAUGGUAGUCUUUUCCCAAACCUCUUCAGGAAAAAUAGUUUUUCGCC